rnacentral:rRNA from 1 species
CCUACGGGGGGCAGCAGUGAGGAAUAUUGGUCAAUGGACGAGAGUCUGAACCAGCCAAGUAGCGUGAAGGAUGACUGCCCUAUGGGUUGUAAACUUCUUUUAUAAAGGAAUAAAACGAGGCACGUGUGCCUUUUUGCAUGUACUUUAUGAAUAAGGAUCGGCUAACUCCGUGCCAGCAGCCGCGGUAAUACGGAGGAUCCGAGCGUUAUCCGGAUUUAUUGGGUUUAAGGGGAGCGUAGAUGGGUUGUUAAGUCAGUUGUGAAAGUUUGCGGCUCAACCGUAAAAUUGCAAUUGAUACUGGCAGUCGUGAGUACAGUUGAGGUAGGCGGAAUUCGUGGUGUAGCGGUGAAAUGCUUAGAUAUCACGAAGAACCCCGAUUGCGAAGGCAGCUUACUAAGCUGUGACUGACAUUGAUGCUCGAAAGUGUGGGUAUCAAACAGGAUUAGAUACCCCUGUAGUG